rnacentral:rRNA from 1 species
UCUACGGGUGGCAGCAGUGGGGGAUAUUGCACAAUGGGGGAAACCCUGAUGCAGCGACGCCGCGUGUAGGAAGACGGUCCUCUGGAUUGUAAACUACUGUCCCCAGGGACGAAGAUGACGGUACCUGGGGAGGAAGCUCCGGCUAACUACGUGCCAGCAGCCGCGGUAAUACGUAGGGAGCGAGCGUUGUCCGGAAUUAUUGGGUUUAAAGGGUGCGCAGGCGGAAGAUCAAGUCAGCGGUAAAAUUGAGAGGCUCAACCUCUUCGAGCCGUUGAAAAUGGUUUUCUUGAGUGAGUGAGAAGUAUGCGGAAUGCGUGGUGUAGCGGUGAAAUGCAUAGAUAUCACGCAGAACUCCGAUUGCGAAGGCAGCAUACCGGCGCUCAACUGACGCUCAUGCACGAAAGUGUGGGUAUCGAACAGGAUUAGAUACCCCUGUAGUC